GAUGAAGAACGCAGCGAAAUGCGAUACGUAAUGUGAAUUGCAGAAUUCAGUGAAUCAUCGAAUCUUUGAACGCAUAUUGCGCUCUUUGGUAUUCCGAAGAGCAUGCUUGUUUGAGUAUCAGUAAACACCUCAAAGCUUUUGGAUUUUUUAAUCGAAAAGCUUUGGACUUGAGCAAUCCCAACACCAAUCUUUUUGAGAUCAGUGGCGGGUUGCUUGAAAUGCAGGUGCAGCUGGACAUUCUCCUGAGCUAAAAGCAUAUUCAUUUAGUCCCGUCAAACGGAUUAUUACUUUUGCUGCAGCUAACAUAAAGGGAGUUUGACCGUAUUGGCUGACUGAUGCAGGAUUUCACAAGGGUCGGCAACGAUUCUUGUUAAACUCGAUCUCAAAUCAAGUAAGACUACCCGCUGAACUUAAGCAUAUCAAUAAGCGGAGGA
rnacentral:misc_RNA from 1 species